rnacentral:rRNA from 1 species
GCUUUUGGUGGAUGAGUGGCGAACGGGUGAGUAACACGUGAGUAACCUGCCCCUGAUUUCGGGAUAAGCCUGGGAAACCGGGUCUAAUACCGGAUACGACCAACCCUCGCAUGAGGGUUGGUGGAAAGUUUUUCGAUCGGGGAUGGGCUCGCGGCCUAUCAGCUUGUUGGUGGGGUAAUGGCCUACCAAGGCGACGACGGGUAGCCGGCCUGAGAGGGCGACCGGCCACACUGGGACUGAGACACGGCCCAGACUCCUACGGGAGGCAGCAGUGGGGAAUAUUGCACAAUGGGGGAAACCCUGAUGCAGCGACGCAGCGUGCGGGAUGACGGCCUUCGGGUUGUAAACCGCUUUCAGCAGGGAAGAAGCGAAAGUGACGGUACCUGCAGAAGAAGUACCGGCUAACUACGUGCC